rnacentral:rRNA from 1 species
GGGUUGUGAGGUUAAGCGACUAAGCGUACACGGUGGAUGCCCUGGCAGUCAGAGGCGAUGAAGGACGUGCUAAUCUGCGAAAAGCGUCGGUAAGGUGAUAUGAACCGUUAUAGCCGGCGAUGUCCGAAUGGGGAAACCCAGUGCAAUUCGUUGCACUAUCGUUAACUGAAUACAUAGGUUAACGAGGCGAACCGGGGGAACUGAAACAUCUAAGUACCCCGAGGAAAAGAAAUCAACCGAGAUUCCCCCAGUAGCGGCGAGCGAACGGGGAGCAGCCCAGAGUCUGAAUCAGCUUGUGUGUUAGUGGAACGGUCUGGAAAGUCCGACGGUACAGGGUGAUAGUCCCGUACACCAAAAUGCACAGGCUGUGAACUCGAAGAGUAGGGCGGGACACGUGGUAUCCUGUCUGAAUAUGGGGGGACCAUCCUCCAAGGCUAAAUACUCCUGACUGACCGAUAGUGAACCAGUACCGUGAGGGAAAGGCGAAAAGAACCCCGGCGAGGGGAGUGAAAAAGAACCUGAAACCGUGUACGUACAAGCAGUGGGAGCACCUUCGGGUGUGACUGCGUACCUUUUGUAUAAUGGGUCAGCGACUUAUAUUCUGUAGCAAGGUUAACCGUAUAGGGGAGCCGCAGGGAAACCGAGUCUUAACUGGGCGUUAAGUUGCAGGGUAUAGACCCGAAACCCGGUGAUCUAGCCAUGGGCAGGUUGAAGGUUGGGUAACACUAACUGGAGGACCGAACCGACUAAUGUUGAAAAAUUAGCGGAUGACUUGUGGCUGGGGGUGAAAGGCCAAUCAAACCGGGAGAUAGCUGGUUCUCCCCGAAAGCUAUUUAGGUAGCGCCUCGUGAAUUCAUCUUCGGGGGUAGAGCACUGUUUCGGCUAGGGGGUCAUCCCGACUUACCAACCCGAUGCAAACUACGAAUACCGAAGAAUGUUAUCACGGGAGACACACGGCGGGUGCUAACGUCCGUCGUGAAGAGGGAAACAACCCAGACCGCCAGCUAAGGUCCCAAAGUCAUGGUUAAGUGGGAAACGAUGUGGGAAGGCACAGACAGCCAGGAUGUUGGCUUAGAAGCAGCCAUCAUUUAAAGAAAGCGUAAUAGCUCACUGGUCGAGUCGGCCUGCGCGGAAGAUGUAACGGGGCUAAACCAUGCACCGAAGCUGCGGCAGCGACACUAUGUGUUGUUGGGUAGGGGAGCGUUCUGUAAGCCUGCGAAGGUGACCUGUGAGGGUUGCUGG